rnacentral:lncRNA from 1 species
AGGGAAUGAAAACCAGUAAGAGUGUGUGAACAAUAGAUUUACAUCAUUCUCUUCGUCAUAGUCACUGUCUUUGUUAUCAUAUAAUUACUACUCUGUUCUAGAGUCUGUGCUAAAGAUGUGAUGUUAUUAUCUCAUUUAAUCCUCACAACAAACUGAAGAGGUAUGCUGUUGUCAUCCCUACUUCAGCGGCGAGGGAAUCUGUUGAAAGAGGAGUCAGCUUAGCUCCAUGCACAGAGCCAGUGAGUAGAAGAUCUGGGAUGUCAGUCGAGGGAAUCUGAGCUUGCAGACUUCGGCCUCCACCACUGGGCUGCGCUGCCUCCAAACACAGCCUUCUACUCCAGAGACUGGAGCAGGAAAAGAUGUUAUUCUAGUUGCCAGACAAAUCAUCAAGGCCCAGGAGUAAACCAAUUGAAAUAUGCCUUAGACCUAAAUGAAGGAAAGUACUAACCAGUACUGAAGGACAUAAAAGAAAACCUAAAUAUAGAGAAAAUCAUACCACUUUUGGGGCAAGGGUGGGCGAUGGUGGCACUCAUUACUGUGAAGAGGUCAUUACUCUAAUCUAUGAAUUCAGUUCAAUCCCAAUCAGUACCUCAAAAGGAUUUAUUUAAGAGAAAUUUGUUAAGCUAGUUUUAAAGUUCAUUUGAAAGAGAAAUUCAGAAGCCAUAAAAAAAAUUACAAGUUAGGCUACAUAAAAAUAAAGAUUUCCGUAUGUCACAAAACAUCAUAUGUAGUUUUUUUUUUUUUUUUUUUUUUAAAUGAUCAUCAUCUAGGGAAAGCUACUUGUCACAUAUAAGACAGACAAAGGGUUAUAUCCCUAAUAAACUAAGUGCCUACACACUGAUAUAGAAAAGAAAAACAACUUGAUUGAUAGAUUAGGUAAAGCUAUGAUCAGGCAAUUCAUAGUAAAGGAAAUAUAAAUGGUCAAUAAAAUAUGAAAAGAUGCUCAAACCCCCUAGUAGUCAGGUAAACAAAAAUAAAAUGAUGGAAAUUUGAUUUCUGCCUGUCAGACUGGCAAACGUUUAGAAGAUUGAUGGCAUCUAGUACUGGCAAGGGUGGUGGGAAAUUCAUAUGCUUUUCAGUGUUCAUGGAGAUUUAAAUUGUUACAGUCUUCUUAAAAAAGUAAUCUAGUGGUAUUAAAAUGUAAUAUAUAUACAUAUGCCCUUUGACACAGAAGUUCCAUUUUUUAGAAAUAUAGUUUACAGAAAUAAAUAAGGCAGCUACUCAGGGGGCUGAGGUAGGAUAAUCGCUUGAACCAGGGAGGCCGAGGUUGCAGUGAGCCGAGAUCAUGCCACUGCACUCCAGCC